AUUGAACGCUGGCGGCAGGCCUAACACAUGCAAGUCGAGCGGAUGCAGGGAGCUUGCUCCUGGAUUCAGCGGCGGACGGGUGAGUAAUGCCUAGGAAUCUGCCUGGUAGUGGGGGAUAACGUCCGGAAACGGGCGCUAAUACCGCAUACGUCCUGAGGGAGAAAGUGGGGGAUCUUCGGACCUCACGCUAUCAGAUGAGCCUAGGUCGGAUUAGCUAGUUGGUGGGGUAAAGGCCUACCAAGGCGACGAUCCGUAACUGGUCUGAGAGGAUGAUCAGUCACACUGGAACUGAGACACGGUCCAGACUCCUACGGGAGGCAGCAGUGGGGAAUAUUGGACAAUGGGCGAAAGCCUGAUCCAGCCAUGCCGCGUGUGUGAAGAAGGUCUUCGGAUUGUAAAGCACUUUAAGUUGGGAGGAAGGGCAGUAAGUUAAUACCUUGCUGUUUUGACGUUACCAACAAAAUAAGCACCGGCUAACUUCGUG
rnacentral:rRNA from 1 species